GACGAACACUGGCGGCGUGCUUAACACAUGCAAGUCGAACGGAGUGGCGAACGGGUGCGUAACACGUGGGUGAUCUGCCUUGCACUCUGGGAUAAGCUUGGCAAACUGGGUCUAAUACCGGAUAGUGCAAGAUGAGCUCGCGGCCUAUCAGCUCGUUGGUGGGGUAAUGGCCUACCAAGGCGUCGACGGGUAGCCGGCCUGAGAGGGUGUACGGCGACAAUGGGACGGAGAUACGGCGCAGACACCUACGGGAGGCAGCAGUGGGGAAUGUUGCACAAUGGGCGGAAGCCUGAUGCAGCGACGCCGCGUGGGGGAUGACGGCCAUCGGGUUGUAAACUCAUUUCGGCAGGGACGCGGUACCUGGAUAAGAAACGCCGGCUAAAUACGUGCCAGCAGCCGCGGUAAUAC
rnacentral:rRNA from 1 species